AACCCCUGGCGCCGUAGCUACGCAUUAGUACCCGCUUGGGAGUACGGCCGCAAGGUUAAACUCAAAGGAAUUGACGGGGGCCCGCACAAGCGGUGAGCAUGUGGUUCAAUUCGACGCAACGCGAAGAACCUUACCUGGGCUAGACAACGGUGGACCGCUCUGGAGACGGAGUUUUCCCUUCGGGGACCGCCGGUUCAGGUGCUGCAUGGCUGUCGUCAGCUCGUGCCGUGAGGUGUUGGGUUAAGUCCCGCAACGAGCGCAACCCUUGCCCUUAGUUGCCACCAUUAAGUUGGGCACUCUAAGGGGACUGCCGGCGUCAAGCUGGAGGAAGGCGAGGAUGACGUCAAGUCAUCAUGGCCCUUAUGCCCAGGGCUACACACGUGCUACAAUGGGCGGUACAGAGGGUUGCUAACCCGCGAGGGGGAGCCAAUCCCGAAAAGCCGUCCUCAGUUCGGAUUGGAGUCUGCAACUCGACUCCAUGAAGGUGGAAUCGCUAGUAAUCGCGAAUCAGCAAUGUCGCGGUGAAUACGUUCCCGGGCCUUGUACACACCGCCCGUCACACCAUGGGAGUGGGUUGCACCAGAAGUAGUUAGCUUAACCUUCGGGAGGGCGAUUACCACGGUGUGAUUCAUGACUGGGGCGAAGUCGUAACAAGGUAGCCGUAG
rnacentral:rRNA from 1 species